CACGUAGGGGGCAAGCGUUGUCCGGAUUUAUUGGGCGUAAAGAGCUCGUAGGCGGUUCGGUAAGUCGGGUGUGAAACCUCCAGGCUCAACCUGGAGACGCCACCCGAUACUGCUGUGACUAGAGUCCGGUAGGGGAGCGUGGAAUUCCUGGUGUAGCGGUGAAAUGCGCAGAUAUCAGGAGGAACACCAGCGGCGAAGGCGGGUUGCUGGGCUGACACUGACGCUGAGGCGCGAAAGCUAGGGGAGCGAACGGG
rnacentral:rRNA from 1 species